rnacentral:rRNA from 1 species
AUUGAACGCUGGCGGCAGGCUUAACACAUGCAAGUCGAGCGGGGUGAUGGUGCUUGCACUAUCACUUAGCGGCGGACGGGUGAGUAAUGCUUAGGAAUCUGCCUAUUAGCGGGGGACAACAUCUCGAAAGGGAUGCUAAUACCGCAUACGUCCUACGGGAGAAAGCAGGGGAUCACUUGUGACCUUGCGCUAAUAGAUGAGCUUAAGUCGGAGUAGCUAGUUGGUGGUGUAAAGGACUACCAAGGCGACGAUCUGUAGCGGGUCUGAGAGGAUGAUCCGCCACACAGGGACUGAGACACGGCCCAGACGCCUACGGGAGGCAGCAGUGGAGAAUAUUGGACAAUGGGGGGAACCCUGAUCCAGCCAUGCCGCGUGUGUGAAGAAGGCCUUAUGGUUGUAAAGCACUUUAAGCGAGGAGGAGGCUCUUUUGGUUAAUACCCAAGAUGAGUGGACGUUACUCGCAGAAUAAGCACCGGCUAACUCUGUGCCAGCCGCCGCCGUAA